CUUCUUCUUCUUCUUCUUCUUCUUUCUUUCUUUCCUUCUUCCUUCUUCCUUCCCACCUGCCGUCCCUCUCUCUCUCCCGUGUUCAUAUUUCUCCGGCCACCACAAGCCACACGGGCCGGCCACCAUCCAAGACCACACGCCGGCAAGCUCACCAGCCAAAUUUGGCGGCCGGGCGGUCGGCGACGCUCCCAGAUCGGGCCGGUGAAGUCACGACGGCGGGUUGAAUUUUUUCCGGCGAUUCUCGCCGUUUUCGGCCAGCCCAGUCCAAAUUGCCACCCCUCUUCCCCUAUUUUGGGUCCUCUGAGUUCAAAUAUGGCCUCCAAUUUCCAAAAUUCAAAGCGGUUUGCGAGAUACGAGGAGAUCAAGACCAGCCGAAGCUUUCCAGCCAAAUUCCGGCCACCACCGGCGGAAUUGGGGUCAAUGGAGACCGGUAAUGUGAUCCUCGUUCCACAAGCUUCGAUUCGGAGCACGUGUACGUUGUGGAAUCGAUCAUAUGGAGGAUCUUAGGUUAAUUGCAUGCUCCAGGUCCAGGUUGGGUGACGUCGAUCAUCCGGGGUGAGCCCGACGUCUCAGUUCAUUGCCGGAAGUCCAAGGAGCAUCUCCUUUCUUUUUUCCUCUCCACCCUAUAUUACUUCUUUGUCGGUCAUUGUAUUAAUUUCAUAUUUAUUUGUAUAAUGUUCUGUAUACUGUAUUGGACAUUUAUGUAUUAAUUAUGCACUGGAUUACUGUUGUUCA